ACUGAAUGUCGGCCAAAAUUCCAUUGAGAAUGGAAAACAUGUCAAACAAAAAAAAAUAAAAAUAAAAAAAAAUAAUGGAAUGAAUGUCCGCCAAAUUCCAUUUAGAAUGGAAUUGGGUCAACUAAAUUGACAUGUUGGCUAAUUUCCAUUUAGAAUGGAAGACAUGUCGGCCAAACAAUUCUAUUCUAAAUGGAAUUGGUUCU
rnacentral:lncRNA from 1 species